rnacentral:rRNA from 1 species
AUUGAACGCUGGCGGCAUGGCUAAAACAUGCAAGCCGAGCGCGAAAGAGGAGCAAUCCUCAAGUAGAGCGGCGAAAGGGUGAGUAAUACGUUCCUACGUACCUCGAGGUCAGGGAUAGCCAGGGGAAACUCUGGGUAAUACCUGAUGUGGUCGAGAGAUCAAAGGCUUGCCGCCUUGAGAGCGGGGAACGCCCUAUCAGCUAGUUGGUGAGGUAACGGCUCACCAAGGCUUUGACGGGUAGCGGGUGUGAGAGCAUGGCCCGCCACAUCGGAACUGAGACACUGUCCGGACUCCUACGGGAGGCUGCAGUAACGAAUCUUCCGCAAUGCGCGCAAGCGUGACGGAGCAAUGCCGCGUGCAGGAUGAAGCCCUUCGGGGUGUAAACUGCUGUCAGGGUUUAGAAACACAAUGAUCAAACCCAAAGAAGAGACGACUAACUCUGUGCCAGCAGUCGCGGUAAUACAGAGGUCUCGAGCGUU